UAGAAACGCAAUCAUUGCCACGUCCCUCCAACCAUCCACAGAAUAUAAUACAUCACCAAUAGUAGGGAACUGUUUGGCCAGUUAACAUGGACAAAUGGACUGGGCGUGUGGCCCUAGUGACUGGUGCUUCACGUGGGAUAGGGUCAUCCGUGGCCAGAAUGCUUUGCCAGCAAGGGAUGGUCGUAGUGGCACUGGCCAGAGACAUCGCUGAGCUAGAGGCUAUAGCCGUGGACUACAAGACUAACGGUUUCGAAGGCAGCUUGGUGCCCAUGAAGUGUGACAUCACCCAGCCAGACAGAAUCUCCGCUCUUCUAAAUACCAUCAGAACUGACCCAGAUCUAGAAGGAGUUGACGUACUCAUCAACAACGCUGCCGUAGCCUUUGCUGAGCCACUGCUUAGUGGUAACCCGGAUGUAUGGGCCACUAUGGUCAAGACCAAUUUCCUGGGUCCUACAAUCUUGGCUCAGGAAGUGUUCAAGUCUAUGAAAGAAAGAGAAGUUGAUGAUGGUCACAUCAUUUUUGUUAACAGUCUUUCCGGGCAUCGUCUGCUACCAGGCAAUAAAGAUCUCCACAUGUACAGUGCCACCAAGUUCGCUCUGCGGUCAAUAGUUGAAGGUCUCCGCCUUGAACUUCGUCAGUUGGAUUCUCAUAUAAGAGUUUCGUCGAUCAGCCCGGGUGUGGUGGAAACUGAUAUUUUCAAGAAACUCUUUGACAACGACGAGGAGAAGACGAAAAAGUUUCUAUCUGAGAGAAAGGUAAACACUGACCACUGGCUAGUGGUUUGAGAGAAAGUACCUGACUGCCGAUGAUGUGGCUAACCUCAUUUUAUCUAUUAUGUCCCAACCCGGCCACGUACAGAUCCAUGACCUACUUGUAAGAUCAACUGAGCAAAUACCUUAAUUGACAAUCAUUAAUUGGAAACACAAGAGAAGACCACACACUGAAGCAAUAAAAACAAACUCAAAUUGUAA